AUGCAAACGUCCUUUCAAGAUAUCAGAAGAUUUGCUGGCUGCGAUCUCAGAUUGGAACAAAAAUUGAAGAUUCUAAACUUUAUGAAAAGAUUUGGUAAAGAAUCCCUGUGUUUGACAUUUAGAAAUUACUUUAAGGUUACAAAAAAGUUUCCAAUAAAAAUGGGAAGUUCUCUAUACUCCAUAUUUUCUGGUCUU